AAAGUCCCAUCCAGCCCGGCCUUGGACUCCUCCAGGGAUAAGAAAGAAGCACAAAGAAGCAGUAGUAUGGAUUGACAAGAGCACAAAAAAAGAAGGGGGGGGCAGACUUGAAUCAGAAGUGGAGGAAGAGGAGAAAAUUGGGCAGUGAAGCAUGUGCUCCAAAUGACUUCAGGCACUGCAGAUGGUAAACACCUAUGCACAUAACUGGAUGCACGCAUGCACAUGCAUGGCGAUCUAUUUCUUCGGAAGGAAUACAUUAAAGUAUUUGCACCUUGAGAUAAUGAAGGAAACAUCAGAUACUGGGAUUGCUGAAGUCUGCCAAGAGGACCAGGGCCUACAAAUGAGAUGCUCCUUCUGUUAGCAGCAGAAUUCUCCUACUCUGAAGUGCUUGGAGAUACAGGCCUGCAGGCCCCUGCAGCACAGCAGCCUUCCUAAUGUCAAAGGUACUUCAUUCAGUUCAAGUGGACAGCUAACCUUCAAAGUAGCUUUAUGAGGCUGACCUUAAGACAGAACAACGGUGGUGUGCUUUGAGGACUACGCACGGCACAGCGGCCCUUCGCACGGAGACAUCGCCCCGUUCCCUCGCUGCUCCCUCAGGGUUACCGUCACCGGCCGUCUCCUCCCGAGGAGCGACGGCAGCGGGAGGAGGCGGCCCCGAGCCGGGCCCAACGCCGAGUCAGCAGCGCCCCCUGGUGGGCGGAGGGUGGUACCGCCCUCACCUCAUCCGCGAUCGCUGUUAUCUCGCUCCCUCGGAGUUUCUGCGGGGGGAAUGUUAAUUUCCCUCACCGUCAAUACCAUGAAUAAUUCAGGCUGCUCUCGCGGAGGCUGAGGUGCCCGCGAUAAGGGUAUCACAGGAUCAAGGGAGGCUCGAACUUUUAGAAAGUGAAAGGGAAUCUGUUAAACCUGGUCUCGGGUGUGUGGUUUGGAAGCAGCUCACCACCCUCGUGUGGCAAUUUGCAGCUGAGAAAAAUGCCCAUGUGCUUACAAACUAACCUCCUUCCCUGCGUUACAGGCUUCUGCCAGCAGACCCCCAGGCCUGAGACAAGGCAGGUAGUGGCACCUUGCAGACAGGAGAAGGCUGCAGCCCCUCUGCACAAUGUGUGAAGCUGCUGCUACUCUCCUCAGACAGCUGUUCUGGAAGUUGGCCUUUUCUGCUGACAGAGCACUUUGCUGGCUUAUGUCCACCACAGCUCUCUAGUCCUUUUCCACAAAUCUAUUGCCUCAUCACUCUGCCUAUAUUGUUGCACAGGGUUCUUCCUCCCCAGAUGCAUUUCUCGCAGUUUCUGUUGACAUAUUCCCACACUCUAUGCAGGCCCAGCUGGAUGAAAUUUAUUUAGAGCUUGAGAAUGUCAAGUGGUAUCUCAAUUUGGUGUCACCUCCACACCUGAGGAGUGAGAUAUGCAUAACUUCCUCUGGGCACUGAUAGUAACUUAGAACAGCCAGUUCCCAGGACAGAUUGCUGAGGUAUUCCUCUAACUACUGGCCACCAGGAAAAGCAUGAGCCUGUAUUGGGCUUAUGUAGUGAGGUUUUGGUAGUGCAGGGAGCUGCAAAGUUUUUCUCUAUGAGAAAAGCCCAGAAGCUGCCCCAUGUUAGAGCAAUUUCCUUGUUGUUGUUUGGACAUUUUAGUUCUUUUUCAUCAUAUCUUCUUGCCGUGUUUCUUUGAGGAGGGGUAGUGAGAGAGUGACACGGUGGAGUUUAGUUAGCCAGUGGUGGGUUUCACACCACAGAAACAUUCACUACUACCAUGUGAGCUUGAUUAACCAUUUUUUACUUGUCUAGUUGUUACCCAGCCAAACUGAAGUGUCCUAUUGUGGAUGUAAGAGUUAUGGGUAAAGAGAGUAUGUCAAAAUUCUUACUUAAGUUAAGCUGCGUGUCCUUCCAUCCACUAAUCUGGACAUUUUACCAGAGAAGUAAUGAUGAUUGGAUCAGGUUGAUCAGGCAGACUAUUCCCAAUCACCUUCUUCUCUCAGCUUUCAUCAUGAGCCUUGGAAAGGAGAAGGAUCCAAAGCAUGAAGGAUUGCAGUGUUCCUUUCUAGUCAUUACACUUGCAUGUGUUUCUGCUCUCUCAUUUCAACACCUUGAAAAUAUUGAGCGAGUCAAAGAGCAAUUUACCACUAUGGUAAUUCUUCCUGGUGCUUUCUGUUGUCAGUGAUGGUCUUCGCCUAACUAAGGAUAUAACAUUAUUAGCUGGCUAUUUCUGAAGGGAAACUUAACCUAAAAAAAUAAUUGUUGUGCUCAACACCACACAACACAUCCAUUGUCAAGACAAGAGCAGAACUCAGGAUGUACUACUCCCUCCUGGCCACAUAUUCAUUCCCAGAUUCAUCAUAUGACAGCUAUUGCCAAGAACAUACUCUUCCAUUCAGACCUAAUGAGACAAACAAAUACUUCUUCCAUUCAUUGACCUCCACGUGAGGCCUCAUUGCAUUAUAAAUAUACAUGUCUAAUUUACAAACAAAAAAGAAACACAAUGGUGAACUGAAUUAUUCAGAUUGCAACAUGCACUUGGCUCUGAUAAUAAGCCCGUAAUGGGGAAGAGGAGCUCAUUAGGGAAUGCUAAAAAAAAA